AUUGAACGCUGGCGGCAGGCUUAACACAUGCAAGUCGAACGGGUGUAGCAAUACAUCAGUGGCAGACGGGUGAGUAACACGUGGGAACCUUCCUAGGGGUACGGAACAACUCAGGGAAACUUGAGCUAAUACCGUAUACGUCCGUGAGGAGAAAGAUUUAUCGCCCUUAGACGGGCCCGCGUCGGAUUAGCUAGUUGGUGGGGUAACGGCCUACCAAGGCGACGAUCCGUAGCUGAUCUUAGAGGAUGAUCAGCCACACUGGGACUGAGACACGGCCCAGACUCCUACGGGAGGCAGCAGUGGGGAAUCUUGGACAAUGGGCGCAAGCCUGAUCCAGCCAUGCCGCGUGAGUGAAGAAGGUCUUCGGAUUGUAAAGCUCUUUUGCCAGGGACGAUAAUGACGGUACCUGGAGAAUAAGCCCCGGCAAACUUCGUGCCAGCAGCAGCCGCCG
rnacentral:rRNA from 1 species